GAUGAAGAACGUAGCGGAAUGCGAUAAGUAGUGUGAAUUGCAGAAUUCAGUGAAUCAUCGAAUCUUUGAACGCACAUUGCGCCCUUUGGUAUUCCUUAGGGCAUGCCUGUUCGAGCGUCAUUUAAACCUUCAAGCUAAGCUUGGUGUUGGGUGACUGUCCGCUUCACGGCGGACUCGCCUCAAAAUUAUUGGCGGCCGGUACAUUGGCUUCGAGCGCAGCAGAAACGCGAACUCGGGCCCGUCGUAUUGGCUCCCAGAAGCUAUCUUCACAAUUUUGACCUCGGAUCAGGUAGGGAUACCCGCUGAACUUAAGCAUAUCAAUAAGCGGAGGA
rnacentral:misc_RNA from 1 species